rnacentral:tRNA from 1 species
AAAGAAUUAGUUAAAUAGAUAACACUAGCCUGUCACGCUAAAAUUACUCUAAGAGUAUUCUUUA